UACGUAGGGGGCAAGCGUUGUCCGGAUUCAUUGGGCGUAAAGAGCGUGUAGGCGGCCAGGUAGGUCCGUUGUGAAAACUCGAGGCUCAACCUCGAGACGUCGAUGGAAACCAUCUGGCUAGAGUCCGGAAGAGGAGAGUGGAAUUCCUGGUGUAGCGGUGAAAUGCGCAGAUAUCAGGAAGAACACCAGUGGCGAAGGCGGCUCACUGGCCCGGUACUGACGCUGAGGUGCGAAAGCGUGGAGAGCAAACAGG
rnacentral:rRNA from 1 species